GACGUAGGGCGCGAGCGUUGUCCGGAUUUAUUGGGCGUAAAGAGCUCGUAGGCGGCUUGUCGCGUCGUGUGUGAAAUCUCAGGGCUCAACUCUGACAUUGCAUACGAUACGGGCAGGCUUGAGUUCGGUAGGGGAGACUGGAAUUCCUGGUGUAGCGGUGAAAUGCGCAGAUAUCAGGAGGAACACCGAUGGCGAAGGCAGGUCUCUGGGCCGAUACUGACGCUGAGGCACGAAAGCGUGGGGAGCAAACAGG
rnacentral:rRNA from 1 species